CUUGGUCAGCAAAAAAUAUGCUUAAAUUGGAAUGAUAGGAGAGGAUUAGCAUGGUCCCUGCACAGGCAUGACUCACAAAUUCAUUAAGUGUCCUGUACUAUA